rnacentral:lncRNA from 1 species
UCAGAAGGCCAGACCCAUUCAAAGUAGGAGACUUGGUACUCAUCAAGACCGCGACCAGUUACGAACAUUCAGCCGAGUACACCGAGCGCACAAAGGAAGAAAGACAGGAACUAAGCCAACUAACACGGUAUCUAUCUGCUCAGGUCUCUUGCAAUUCCUUUCCCUGAGUAGUCUCUAUUUCAUCUUUUUCUUGUUUUGUUUAGCUCUAGUACUAGAGAAAUGUCGGGGAAUCAUCCGUUUUGCCUUUUUUGUGUGUUCUUUCCUUCUUAUUUCGUUUUCUGUGUACUUUUUGUAUGUAAUAGCGGACGGUUUCCCGUCGGGUUCUCGUCCGGUUGUUUAAUCUACUGUCCUACUUUUGCUUCCGUAGCUGAAGGUCUUGAGCCGGUAACGAGUAGGGAGCUUCCCCAGAGCAAGUCUAUUAGUAGACGGAAAGACCUGCUCUUCGGCGCUUAGCUGCUACCGACUUAAUUGGUUGUAUUCAUUACUGCGAUGUCGCUUUCGGCCGGAAACAGCCGACUUACUUGUUGACUGUUUACUUGAAAAAGGCCUUCACGCAGUGGUUACAAGUC